UAGGCACUUUAAUCCCUUACACAGCUCUUUCCUUAAACAAAUAGCAUUUUUGGAGGGGAGAGAAACCCUGCUUAUUGAAUAAUGUUGCACAAUAUGAAAAGUCACCAGUCUGAAACACCAGGCGUUACAUGAAGUAUGGCUAAAUUUCAUUAAAACGUUCUCAUUCGACAGUGACAAAUAGUGAAAAGGACUCCUUUUGUACCUUUUUAUGUCCACUUUCUUUUCUUGCUAGUUCGAUCUUCAAUCCGAUACAACCUUGUCAACCCGUGCUCUGCGUGAUCAUGUGGUAUACUUUUUACUGAAUCGUUGAUAUCAGGAAAAGCUUAGUGACGCAAUGCAAGUACUAAAGGGGUUGCCAGGGUUGGGACUGGAAGUUGUCUUGUUCUGCAAACAAAAUAGAUCUGUAAGGAUGCCAUUGAUGUGUGACAGCCGUCCACCUUCUUGCAAUUCUGCUUUCUGAGGCGUUGAGCCCUGUGGUACCCAAUCAGCAUGGUACCUACUGUAUUUCUUUGCAAGGUGCAGUUUACUUUCUGAGUCCCCAUCAGCUAAAUUAAGCAAAAGACCCUAGGAGAAAUGUUUACUUGAAUGUUAUGCUCCCUCACUUGAUGGUGUCCCAUAGCAAAUGUGCCACUGGCAAACAAAUGUCCAGGAUUAACUAGGCACAAAUGACUGUGUCCCAUUAACUGGAAUUCAGGAGUCAGUACGGGACAGUAUUAAUUCAGUAGCGUAAAUGAAGAAAAAAACUAAGCGAAAAUGUAUUAACAUGAUUAAAUGGCAAAAGGACUUUGGCAAGGCAAGGGCAUUAACCUGCGGUCCUGCACAGAAUUAGAGAUUGCGUGCCGCUCCCAUCGUUCCCAGGGAUCUUGUCUUCUGCACCAGUCCUGUGUCCCUUUGAGGAAGGCGGGUAAGUGGAGGCCCUGUAGCUGGGCUGUUGCAACGUAGUGUCUUAGCUAUAGAUGGGGACAUCAGGGGUGCCACCGUUGUAGAAGUGUGGAAAAAGCACCUUGUGUGUAGUAAUGUAUUUUGUAUCUUUAUUUUUUUCUUUGACUGUUUAUAAUAUAACACUCAAUUGACAAUAGAUAUGAACUGUAUUUUAAAUCAUAUUGUUAAAUAUUUUCCCUCUUUUGUUGGGAAGCCCAUUUCAGUUUAACUGUGUCUGUUUGUUGAUAGCUUACCUGGAAGGCAGUGAACACUUUUUUAUAUUCUCUUAAUGAAACCAUUCAGCAGGUAUAUGCUGUUGAGGCUGGUUAUACAGGUUUUCUAUAAUAAAUGUUCAAGUAUUUUUGUACAUAACUCGUUAAUUUUAAUAAGAGAUACCGUUAUGUGUAAAAAAAAAAGUAAAAAUAAAAGCAAACAGUUGUUGAUGCAGUAUGAUUGUUAUAAUUAUGCCAAAUACUUUAUGUAUGGGAAAAAGAAUAUUUGUACAUAUGUGCUUUUAACAAUAAUUCUGCCAUAUUGACUUUACAGUUUUGAAUGUCAGAAAAAUUAAUAUAUGUUUAAAAUAUUUAUGUUUAGUGGAAGUAUUCAUAAUGGAGAAAAGGAACAUAUGAAUUUUAGCUUUGUAUCUUGCAAGUUUUGCAAUUGGAAAAUCUCUUGAAAUAGGUUUUGCUUUUGAUGGUAACACUCUGUGUUUGUAAUUACAUCCUUCAAAUAUAUCUAUAUAUAUGUAUGUAUAGCAAACUCAGUAUUUCUGCUUUAAAGUAAAACCUUCCUUUUAAGUAAGAUGAUAUGCAUAAGAUAACAAAGCUUCUUUGAUUUCCUUUUUCUGUGUAAUUUAAUAGAUUUCUUGACUACUGCUUGGGCACAGUAUAAAUCAGUGUUAUUUGCUCUUGGAGCCACUUUUUGAAGUUUCUGGCAGUGAACAGCCGACUCUACCAUGUGCGUAAUGGCAACUCUGCAUUGAUACCA